UAAGGAGGAUGCGAGCGUUAUCCGGAUUUAUUGGGUUUAAAGGGUGCGCAGGCGGUCUGUUAAGUCAGCGGUCAAAGCCCGGGGCUCAACUGCGGGACUGCUUUUGGAACUAUCUAGCUAGAUUGCAGGAGAGGUAAGUGGAAUCCCUAGUGUAGCGGUGAAAUGCGUAGAUAUUAGGAGGAACACCAGUGGCGAAGGCGGCUUACUGGACUGUAAAUGACGCUGAGGCUCGAAAGCGUGGGGAGCAAACAGG
rnacentral:rRNA from 1 species